UGGUGGAAGCCGCGCUGCGCCUGCCAUCUUAGCGUCCUGCCCUCACUCGGAGGGGAGGUGCUUGUUGGUGUUCUGUGGCUCGGUGGCGGGUGUUGGUGUCCCCGUACUGUCUUCGAGUUCUGCCUGUCCCCUGGGAGGAAGAGGAGGAGGUGGUGGUGGUGGGGAUCCCCGAGGCGCUCGGUUACCUGAGCGACAGUCUCUUCCAGGAGGGGUUGGGACCUGGAGGAGGUGGAGUGUGCUGCAGACCCCCUCAGCUGCAGCCUCUCCGUUUGUGAGGGCUCCAGUAGAUAUGGAAUGGUUCAGAAGAGCCAGUGGCUACCAGGAAUAUAGCUGGAAUUAAAGUCAUCAUGAAGUGGGGAGACGUUUCAAGUCUUCAAUUUUUCUGAAGCCCACACAUGAGAAAGAGAGCUGUCUGAAUACUUGCAGCCAGAAGUGGGUGAUACCUAACUCGUGUUUUUGUCAUUGAAAAGCGCCCUCAAAAGAGGGUUUCCUUCCUCUAAAGCUUUUGCAGGAGGGGAGACAAGCAAUAAGUACUCACUUUUAAAAACUUGCACAGGUUUGUGGUGUAGUUGUGCCACAAGAGAAAAUGUUAAGCCCUAU